GAUGAACGCUGGCGGCGUGCCUAAUACAUGCAAGUCGAGCGAACAGACGAGGAGCUUGCUCCUCUGACGUUAGCGGCGGACGGGUGAGUAACACGUGGAUAACCUACCUAUAAGACUGGGAUAACUUCGGGAAACCGGAGCUAAUACCGGAUAACAUGUUGAACCGCACGGUUCAACAGUGAAAGACGGUUUUGCUGUCACUUAUAGAUGGAUCCGCGUCGCAUUAGCUAGUUGGUAAGGUAACGGCUUACCAAGGCAACGAUGCGUAGCCGACCUGAGAGGGUGAUCGGCCACACUGGAACUGAGACACGGCCCAGACUCCUACGGGAGGCAGCAGUAGGGAAUCUUCCGCAAUGGGCGAAAGCCUGACGGAGCAACGCCGCGUGAGUGAAGAAGGUCUUCGGAUCGUAAAACUCUGUUAUUAGGGAAGAACAAAUGUGUAAGUAACUAUGCACGUCUUGACGGUACCUAAUCAGAAAGCCACGGCUAACUACGUG
rnacentral:rRNA from 1 species